UACGUAGGUGACAAGCGUUGUCCGGAUUUACUGGGCGUAAAGCGCGCGUAGGCGGCUUUGCAAGCCGGAUGUGAAAUCCCCGGGCUUAACCUGGGAACUGCAUUCGGGACUGCAUUGCUAGAGUAUGGGAGAGGGAAGUGGAAUUUCAGGUGUAGCGGUGAAAUGCGUAGAUAUCUGAAGGAACAUCAGUGGCGAAAGCGACUUCCUGGACCAAUACUGACGCUCAUGUGCGAAAGCGUGGGGAGCAAACAGG
rnacentral:rRNA from 1 species